rnacentral:rRNA from 1 species
CCUACGGGAGGCAGCAGUGGGGAAUAUUGGACAAUGGGCGAAAGCCUGAUGCAGCGACGCCGCGUGAGUGAAGAAGGUAUUCGGUAUGUAAAGCUCUAUCAGCAGGGAAGAAAAUGAUGGUACCUGAGUAAGAAGCAGCGGGUAACUACGAGCCAGCAGCCGCGGGAAUACGUAGGGGGCAGGCGUUAUCCGGAUUUACUGGGUGUAAAGGGGGCGUAGACGGCAGUGCAAGUCUGGAGUGAAAGGCUCGGGCUGAACCCCCGGACUGCUGUGGAAACUGUAGGGCUGGAGUGCAGGAGAGGUAAGUGGAAUGCCUAGUGUAGCGGUGAAAUGCGUAGAUAUUAGGAGGAACACCAGUGGCGAAGGCGGCUUACUGGACUGAAACUGACGCUGAGGCUCGAAAGCGUGGGGAGCAAACAGGAUUAGAUACCCUUGUAGUC